rnacentral:lncRNA from 1 species
AUGGUUCCGUCACCCCACCCGUCUUCAGCCCAGAGCUUAGCUCAGAGAACCAGAACCCACAACGGGUUUUGCGUCGUACGGUUUCUUUCAGUGAACGCCAUCUCCUCUUCUCACUCAAUUCUCUUCCCAACAGGAAGAGGAGGCAGGGAUGCAGUCCUGGAAAGUGAAGUGGUCCUGACCAAAAUGAAGAUCUUCAACAACUUCUGUGAAAAUGACUCCAUCUCCACAGGGUCAGCUUCUGAACAUGACAUGACAGAGUCCACCAGAACAUCUGAGGCAAAUCCUCACGUCCAAGAAAAGCCUCAGACCGAGUCCGGAUCAGACUACCUGUCGGUCAUCUUUUCAUCCUCUCAGCUUCCGAGGUUGUUCAAGUUUGAAUCUGAGGACUCUGGAGUUGAACUUCCCAGUGGAGCUAAUUCUCCAUCCACCCCGACGGGCUCGGAGCAGAGCUUUGUGGUCCACAGCCGAGAGUCCUCUUGUGAUUCCUGUAACAUGAACCCUGAACCUUCUUGUUCUCCUGAUAAACUGGUUAUAAACACGCAGAACUCCUCUGAUGAAGGUUCAAACAACUUAGAAAACGACCCAAAUGUGACGGAGAAGACUCGGAACGAGUUCAGCGGCAACCUGGACCAGAGCGGAGCUUCAGGUGAUGGAGAAAAAAAGGGACAAUCUGAGGAGACUACAUCUCCGACUGCAAGGAGUCGCUCUGAGAACGAGAAGUUUCUGGAGGAAUUCUCAACGAGGAUGAAUGAAGAUGACAAGUCGGAGUCUGUGAGGCGGAGCGCCACCAGAGACAGUCUGGAGGACUACAUGGAGGAAUGCUGCAGGAUCAGUCAGGCAGUGCAGCAGACUUCCAGUCCUCUGGGCUCCGGUUUGGGAUACCUGGAGCACAUUUGCCAGCUUCUGGAGAAAAUUGGCCACCUGCAGGAGUUGAACCUGCAACUGCAAAGGCAGGUCUGUGGCCUGCAGAAGGACGGCAGGAUGACGAAGACUAAAGAGGACUUUUUCCAGCAGCACUGCAGCUGCGGCGCCGCCACCUUAGCCUUCCAGGUCCGGCUGUCUAGAGGAGACUUGGCCCAAAGUGGACACGUCUCUGAUCUGUCCACCAUCCCAGAAGUCAGCCGGCACCCGCUGUCGUCGACAGGUGUGAUCGGUGAGCAUUCAGCCACCAGCUCACUGAGGAGGAAACGUCUGGGUGGAUGGAGUAGUUCUGAGGGGGAGGACGGAUCCCUCUGGGACAACAUGGAAGCAUCAUUCCUCUCCCAGCGCAGGCUGGGUGAGAACUACACCUGGGGUCGGGUUAAGGACAUCAUGAAGAAAACUAAAUUAAGGAAUCAGAGCAGGCUGGGAAUGACCUCCGCCUCACUGAAGAUGUCCUGUCCACAGCUCUACAGGCCUGAUCUGGAUCCAGAAGAAGCUGCUGGUAGAAACAGGAAGUCCAUGAUCGCUUUGAGCUCCCAGCACAAACUGGACUUUUGGAUCGAGUGAAAAUGCAG